AUUACGAGCUAAAACUUAAAACCCAAAGGACUUGACGGUGUUCCACUCCCCCUAGAGGAGCCUGUGCUAUAAUCGACAAUACCCGCUAAACCCAACUGCUUUUUGACCAUCAGCCUGUAUACUUCCGUCGUAAGCUCACCAUGCUGAAAGACACACAGUGAGCCCAAAGGCCUACCGCCAACACGUCAGGUCAAGGUGCAGCCAAUAAAGCAGAUAGCGAUGGGCUACAAUUUCUAUAAUAGAACCUACGAAAAGCCAUAUGAAAUAUGACCACGAAGGAGGAUUUAGAAGUAAAAAGAAAAUAGAGUGUUCUUUUUAACU
rnacentral:rRNA from 1 species